GACGAACCGUGCGAACGUUGUUCGGAAUCACUGGGCAUAAAGGGCGCGUAGGCGGCUUAUCAAGUCAGGGGUGAAAUCCGGCAGCUCAACUGUCGAAGUGCCCUUGAUACUGACGAGCUCGAGGGAGGUAGGGGGUGUGUGGAACUUCCGGUGGAGCGGUGAAAUGCGUUGAUAUCGGAAGGAACGCCGGUGGCGAAAGCGACACACUGGACCUCUUCUGACGCUGAGGCGCGAAAGCCAGGGGAGCAAAGCGGG
rnacentral:rRNA from 1 species